ACAAAUAUGCCUGAUUAAAAGGUUUAUUUUGAUAGAAUAAUUAAUGGUUAAACCCUAUUUGUG
rnacentral:tRNA from 1 species